rnacentral:lncRNA from 1 species
AGGCAGCUCUUGUGGUGCAUCACAAUCGUUUGAGAAGCGUCACAGUAGAGCAUUUUUCUACAUGCGGAGCGGUGUUUUUAUUUGCAGGUUUCCCUUCAGUAGGAAAUCGCUGGACAGGCGGACCAACGCACCGGAAUUGUACUGGCCAAGCCACAAGCAACUCAAAGAAUCUGUUUAAUUGUUGCACUUUGAACAAUCAUGCUUCUACAAAGGCCACAGCAGAAAAACAGCCUGAUGCCGAGUAUUUAUGUGCUACGAAGUAAUCAAGAGGCGAGUGCCUAAUGCGGACGAAAUCGAGUGCAUCGAGACUUAAAACGACAGAAAGCUGAGCUGGUUGGUAAGGAUUCAUUAUGCAAAACAGAGGUGAGGCGUGCAGACAGGACACAAGAGUAGAGAAGUGGACGGCGCUCGUGUUGUCCACUUUUCUACUCUUGUGUCCUGUCUGCACGCCUCACCUCCGUUUUGCAUAACGAGUGCAUCAAACCACAUGUUAAUAGCGUAGGCGUUUUAUUAACUGUGCAAUAUUUUCAACACUUCCUUGCAUGCCAUUUCAUGUGGAAUAUCUCUUCUGGUCACAAAUUUGUGUAGCGAAUCUAUUUGCAUGAUCGACUCCGGGCCUGUGGGACCGUUCACUUGCACUUGAUGCUGAGUCUUUUACAUGUAUCCAUAAACUGCAGAUAUGCACAUCAGAUCCCUGCGAGCAUUUUCAAAAUUAAAUUAUUUUAGACAACAGGCACAUAUGCAAUACUGACAUAAUCUCAUAUACCACUAAGCAGCUGGGACACAUUUUUGUUGACCAUACUCGCAGGUAGAAUAAGUAGAUCGUGUGGACAGCUCCAGCUCAUUUUCCUUUAAUCAGUGUGUACAAGGGGUAUGCAAAAAUAAUUUUUUUCUCGCGCACCGAUUAUUUUGCUGUAUAAGCAAGAGAACCCACCACGUUAGUGUAACGUAUCUCGUACAUCACACUAAUAUGUGCUUUAAUUUACCAAGUGAGAUGAGUUACUUUUAUGGCUCAUUCAGUCAUAUCACACUGCAAGCUGCAUUCAUCAAUCUUCAAUUGGAUUUUGCAAAUGUUUAAUGAAACAUGUUUCCCUUCUAUGCAGAUAUGCAAUGGCAAGCCCUUCCGUGUGUUCCAAAGACAAUGCCUACGCCUAGCCACAGCAGCUCCCUCAUACAGACUCCGCAAGCCAAGAGGCCGUGGAGGCAAAUGCAGGCAGCCAGCACACCUCGAACAGCCACCUUGACUGCGGGUGUGUCACCCUAGUCGCCAAGGAAACAUUUGAGGGAAAGCGACAGGCAAUGUGAACAGCCACUUCUCCAUGCAAACGAUACUCUUUCUCUCGGAUGACUCCUACGCCUCGCCACGCCAGCACUCUUGUGCACAAAGAUGCCGCGGAGGCACGUGCAAGUCAGAGGCAAGAAGCAGUGGCACUGGUGUCGACAUUCACCCAAUUUCUUUUUCUUACACUGAGGCAGCCAGCACACCUCGAACAGCCACCUUGACUGCGGGUGUGUCAGUAGAUUCCUGUUGUACAUAUGCUCAUAAUAAACUUCAGUAAACUUGAACUCGAUAAUAAACUUG